UUUUAACGGUAGGUUUAUUUUAACAGUGAGAGACAGGAUAACAAGAAAAAAUCCAGAAAAACGCAUGUCAAAAAAGUUAUAAAUUGAUUUGCAUGUCAAUGAGUAAAAUCAGUAUUUGACCCCUUCGACUUGGCACUUGGUGGCAAAACCCAUGUUGGCAAUCACAGAGGUCAGAUGUUUCUUGUAGGUGGUCACCAUGUUUGCACACAUCUUAGGAGGGAUUUUGUCCUGCUUCUCUUUGCAAAUCCUCUCCAAGUCAUUAAGAUUUCGAGGCUGACGUUUGGCAACUCGAACCUUCAGCUCCCUCCACAGAUUUGCUGUGGGAUUAAGGACAGGAGACUGGCUAGGCCACUCCAGGACCUUAAUGUGCUUCUUCUUGAGCCACUUCCUUGUUGCCUUGUCUGUGUGUUUUGGGUCAUUGUCAUGCUGGAAUAGCCAUCCACAACCCAUUUUCAAUGCCCUGGCUGAGGGAAGGAGAUUCUCACCCAAGACUUGACGGUACAUGGUGCAGUUGUCCUGUCCCCUUAGCAGAAAAACACUCCCAAAGCAUAAUGUUUCCACCUCCAUGUUUGACGGUGGGGAUGGUGUUCUUGGGGUCAUAGUCAUUAUUCCUCGUCCUCCAAACACG